rnacentral:rRNA from 1 species
GUGCCAGCAGCCGCGGUAAUACGUAGGGUCCGAGCGUUGUCCGGAGUUACUGGGCGUAAAGCGCGCGCAGGUGGUUCCCUAAGCCCGGCGUGAAAGCCCCCGGCUCAACCGGGGAGGGUCGUCGGGGACUGGAGAACUUGAGGGCGGCAGGGGCUGGUGGAAUCCCCGGUGUAGUGGUGAAAUGCGUAGAGAUCGGGGGGAACACCCGUGGCGAAGGCGGCCAGCUGGGCCGACCCUGACACUGAGGCGCGAAGGCGUGGGGAGCGAACGGGAUUAGAAACCCCUGUAGUCC